rnacentral:rRNA from 1 species
GCUGCAACUGUUUAUUAAAAACACAGCACUGUGCAAAAUCGUAAGAUGACGUAUACGGUGUGACGCCUGCCCGGUGCCGGAAGGUUAAUUGAUGGGGUUAGACUUCGGUCGAAGCUCUUGAUCGAAGCCCCGGUAAACGGCGGCCGUAACUAUAACGGUCCUAAGGUAGCGAAAUUCCUUGUCGGGUAAGUUCCGACCUGCACGAAUGGCGUAAUGAUGGCCACGCUGUCUCCACCCGAGACUCAGUGAAAUUGAAAUCGCUGUGAAGAUGCAGUGUACCCGCGGCUAGACGGAAAGACCCCGUGAACCUUUACUACAGCUUGGCACUGAACAUUGACCCUACAUGUGUAGGAUAGGUGGGAGGCUUUGAAGCACGUACGCCAGUAUGUGUGGAGCCGUCCUUGAAAUACCACCCUUGUAGUGUUGAUGUUCUAACGUCGACCCCUUAUCGGGGUUACGGACAGUGCCUGGUGGGUAGUUUGACUGGGGCGGUCUCCUCCCAAAGAGUAACGGAGGAGCACGAAGGUGGGCUAAUCACGGUUGGACAUCGUGAGGUUAGUGCAAUGGCAUAAGCCCGCUUGACUGCGAGAAUGACAAUUCGAGCAGGUGCGAAAGCAGGUCAUAGUGAUCCGGUGGUUCUGAAUGGAAGGGCCAUCGCUCAACGGAUAAAAGGUACUCCGGGGAUAACAGGCUGAUACCGCCCAAGAGUUCAUAUCGACGGCGGUGUUUGGCACCUCGAUGUCGGCUCAUCACAUCCUGGGGCUGAAGUCGGUCCCAAGGGUAUGGCUGUUCGCCAUUUAAAGUGGUACGCGAGCUGGGUUUAGAACGUCGUGAGACAGUUCGGUCCCUAUCUGCCGUGGGCGUUGGAAGAUUGAAGGGGGCUGCUCCUAGUACGAGAGGACCGGAGUGGACGAACCUCUGGUGUUCGGGUUGUGUCGCCAGACGCAUUGCCCGGUAGCUAAGUUCGGAAUCGAUAACCGCUGAAAGCAUCUAAGCGGGAAGCGAGCCCUGAGAUGAGUCUUCCCUGAUACUUUAAGUAUCCUAAAGGGUUGUCGGAGACUACGACGUUGAUAGGUCAGGUGUGUAAGUGCUGUGAGGCAUUGAGCUAACUGAUACUAAUUGCCCGUGAGGCUUAACCAU